CCUACGGGAGGCAGCAGUAGGGAAUCUUCCGCAAUGGACGAAAGUCUGAGGGAGCAACGCCGCGUGAGCGAAGAAGGUCUUCGGAUCGUAAAGCUUUGUUGUCGGGGAAGAACAAGCACCGUUCGAACAGGGCGGUACCUUGACGGUACCUGACCAGAAAGCCACGGCUAACUACGUGCCAACAGCCGCGGUAGUACGUAGGUGGCAAGCGUUAUCCGGAAUUAUUGGGCGUAAAGCGGGCGAAGGCGGUCUCUUAAGUCUGAUGUAAAAGCCCGCGGCUCACUGGUGGAGGGUCAUUGGAAACUGGAGACUUGAGUGCAGAAGAGGAGAGCGGAAUUCCACGUGUAGCGGUGAAAUGCGUAGAGAUGUGGAGGAGCACCAGUGGUGAAGGCGACUCUCUGGUCUGUAACUGACGCUGAGGCGCGAAAGCGUGGGGAGCGAACAGGAUUAGAUACCCUGGUAGUCCACGCCGUAAACGAUGAGUGCUAAGUGUUAGAGGGCAUUCACCCUUUAGUGCUGCAGCUAACGCAUUAAGCACUCCGCCUGGGGAGUACGGCCGCAAGGCUGAAACUUAAAGGAAUUGACGG
rnacentral:rRNA from 1 species